rnacentral:lncRNA from 1 species
CAGCAGGCCAAUUGUCUUGCUCCCAAAGUGAUUUGGGGUCCCUGUCUUCAACCACCACACACUCCCUGCUCUACCUCUGCGUUGGCCAGUUUCAAGGUCACGGCGCACGAUAGAAAACCAGCCUGCAGAGCACCUAGCAGAGGUCAGCACUAUGAGCACAAUGCAUGCAGGUGGACCUUACACUGGGAAGGAGCUCCUGGAGCCAGCAUUCCUGGACGGCUGCCCCACCCUUGGCUUCUCCUUCCUGGACUCCUCAAGCUCCAACAUCUCCACCUCAGAGGCCUUGAUAUCGGAAGGGUCUACCCCUUCACUUCUUGACUCCUCAGUGGAUCUUUCCUCUGAGGUAGAUCCACCUUCUGAAAUCCUGGACCAGCUGGAGCCUCCUGAGCCCCCUAAGGUGGAGCCUCAAAUUGCAGGCCCAGCUCCAGGCCAUGCUGAAGCCUUACCUGCAGAGCUUGAGCCUGCUCCACCUGAAGCUCCCUCUGCAGAGCUGGUCUCACAGCAAGAUGCAGCAUCUGGAAUUCCUUCCCAACCAGAUGCAGAGCUGGAACUGCUGGGGGAUGAUGAGCUGAACUCAUGUCUUGAGUUCUACCAGCAGGUCUUUAUCUUUAUCGGCUGUAUCCUUCUCUUCAAGAUGUCCCUUGUUUUUGGAUUUUUGGCUAUUCUUUUUUCC